AGUUGCCUGAGAAGGCCUCCAGUCUGAGCCUACUACUGAAGAGAGCCCACUGUGGCUUUGCCAGCCUUCUGGACUCCGACAGUGCUUACCAUCUGUGUCUGUCCUUUGGCAACUAGCCAAACUCAACUCAGUUCAAUUCAACCAACUUCCAUAGAGCUGCACUGUUGGCAGGAAGCACUCACAGUCUCAAGGAAUGGGGAAAGCAUUUCCUAUCCAUGGCGCCUCAAUUGUACUUUUAAAACAAACUUGGCAUGGAAGAGAACCUUUCCCGAGACUCUUUGAAAGUCUAAAUACAUGAUUGUAAAUUACUUCCCUUUGUCAACACCCUUGAUUACCAUUUUGGAAAUGAGUUCCAGGUGAUGGAUAAACAGAUGAUUAUUUGACAGAUUUCUGCAUUGAAUGCUGCAAAGUAAAGCUCAGAAGGGUGCAUUGUGAAGAAUCUGAAAGCACAAACAGGGGCAUAG
rnacentral:lncRNA from 1 species